UACAGAGGUCUCAAGCGUUGUUCGGAUUCAUUGGGCGUAAAGGGUGCGUAGGCGGCGCGGUAAGUCGGGUGUGAAAUCUCGGGGCUUAACCCUGAGCUUGCGGUCGAUACGGGCAUGACUGGAGUUCGGCAGGGGAGACUGGAAUUCCUGGUGUAGCGGUGGAAUGCGCAGAUAUCAGGAGGAACACCGGUGGCGAAGGCGGGUCUCUGGGCAGUAACUGACGCUGAGACGCGAAAGCGUGGGGAGCGAACAGG
rnacentral:rRNA from 1 species